rnacentral:tRNA from 1 species
GGCAGUUUAGCUUAAUGGUAAAGCACUUGGAUGGAGUCUUCAAGAGAUGUGGGUUCGAGUCCCACGGCUAUUU